GAUGAACGCUGGCGGCGUGCCUAAUACAUGCAAGUCGAGCGAACAGACGAGGAGCUUGCUCCUCUGACGUUAGCGGCGGACGGGUGAGUAACACGUGGAUAACCUACCUAUAAGACUGGGAUAACUUCGGGAAACCGGAGCUAAUACCGGAUAAUAUAUUGAACCGCAUGGUUCAAUAGUGAAAGACGGUUUUGCUGUCACUUAUAGAUGGAUCCGCGCCGCAUUAGCUAGUUGGUAAGGUAACGGCUUACCAAGGCAACGAUGCGUAGCCGACCUGAGAGGGUGAUCGGCGACACUGGAACUGAGACACGGUCAAUACUACUACGGGAGGCAGCAGUAGGGAAUCUUCCGCAAUGGGCGAAAGCAUGACGGAGCAACGCCGCGUGAGUGAUGAAGGUCUUCGGAUCGUAAAACUCUGUUAUUAGGGAAGAACAAAUGUGUAAGUAACUAUGCACGUCUUGACGGUACCUAAUCAGAAAGCCACGGCUAACUACGUG
rnacentral:rRNA from 1 species